rnacentral:rRNA from 1 species
AGCAGCCGCCACGGUAAUACGAAGGGUGCAAGCGUUACUCGGAAUUACUGGGCGUAAAGCGUGCGUAGGUGGUUUGUUAAGUCAGAUGUGAAAUCCCCGAGCUUAACUUGGGAACUGCAUUUGAAACUGGCAAGCUAGAGUCUUGUAGAGGGGGGUAGAAUUCCAGGUGUAGCGGUGAAAUGCGUAGAGAUCUGGAGGAAUACCGGUGGCGAAGGCGGCCCCCUGGACAAAGACUGACGCUCAGGUGCGAAAGCGUGGGGAGCAAACAGGAUUAGAUACCCCAGUAGUCCCUGUCUCUUAUAC